rnacentral:pre_miRNA from 1 species
UCUUAUGGAUGAGCAAAGAAAGUGGCUUUUUGAGAUAAAAUCUAUUCUUAGUGAAGAUGCUGUGAA